CCGACCACUUCUGGCUGAUGAUGAUGUUGGUUAUGUACCUACAGAAAGGCGGUGUCUAAUCCGUGCGGUAGGAUUUGCCCCGGGGCAACGUCCAACGUGCGGGUUUGGCUGGGAAAACGCACCCCCCGGACGGCAGCCCAGUUUUCACCACGGGCAAUAGCUCGUACAAGAAAUCUAACUAGCCAGGCGGAUAGAGCGCUAUCGAAUUGUGGGGGGUAGGUCGGGUCAGCAUCCUUGUACGAGUUAUUGCUCACAGUGAAAAGGCCCGCGGAAGAAGGGACUCCCCUAGACCCCAUCCAGCCGCCUGGUGGUACCCGCGUGGCGAUGUUGCCCGUGGGCCGCCGCCGCCGCCGCCGCCGCCGAGGCGUAUGAAGCCGCAACCGUGCUGCUGCAAUGCGCCUGAACCUCGCCCCCAGCCCCCACCAUAGCUGACGUCGCAUAGCAAGUGCAGUGCACGCACAGGCAACAGCAGGAAGCACAGCACCAGCGCCAGCCAGGGCGUGUCAGCAUCCAGAUUUGUACCCACCCCAACACACGCACUACCUUGGAUUUCCGCCCCCCCCUGCGCGCGCAGCGCACACUUGUGCCGUCUCCUGCCUCGUCACGCCUACCAGUUCAGCACGCUGUAACUUGCCCCGCUUGAAUGCUCUGGUGCACGUCUGUCAAUCCAGUGAUCGCUAUCCAACACCUUGCGCUCACAGCCAGCCUCGGCUACACGCCCCUAGCGCUGAAGCCUCACCUCCGCACUUCCCCUCAAGCGGAAAGUCCGCACAAAGGGCGAGCCAUCGCGCUGCGGAGCGGGGAGGUUUCAGAAAGCGGCGGUUGACGAAAACUUGGGCAACACGUGUUCCCCGCUCCCGCCGACUGCACACAGGCAUUAUUUAAGCCAUCUGUUACACGAAGCUGUUGUACACCAGGAAGUAAGAAGAGGCCCCAGCGACGAAGUUCAGAUACCCGGCUCGAGUCCAGGGAACCCGACCGCGAAAGUAACUGAUGCUGAACCAGAUAAAAUGCGCUCAAGCGCAUAGAAUGGAGUCCGAUGCCGCAAGGAAGCCAAUGUUGAGGCCGAUUUAUCGCACAGGCAGGCGCUGUGCCGAUUGAUUCAUCAGAUACAUAAAUAGCUCCAAAUUAAGCACUUGUGAAUCUUUCAGAAGCCUCGUAGGCGUGUAAGCUGCGAGCGCGAUCAUCUGUCCUUAAUACAGCCGCGCUGGCAGCCCCAUAUAGUGAUACCAAUGAAGCUUAGACUCCGUAAUCAAAAUACUUGCAAAACGUGCAGGUGAACGGUUUCGCCGCAAGGUCGAACUUUCUGCCCUCGGUUUCGGCCUCGGCGACGAUCGAGACUGUUAAACCCAGGUGAUUUCAUCAACAAAGCAUGUUAAGUGAUCGGUUUUGCGCAGCUUAGGACCGGUCCGGGAGGUUGUGCACGCGCAACGGCUGCAAUGUUGUGCGGUCCCGCCCAUUUCGCGACUCUGGCUCUUGCCCUUAACGUCUACUUCAUUCCCAGCCCUUCUUCACCUCAGCUCAACAUCCCUGCCUGCAUAUGCGAGCCCACUCUCUCAGCCUAUUACCGCUGUACGUUGCGUCCCUUGUCCCUUGACAGUUGACACCCUUAGGGGCACGCCCCAUGGAUCGCAUGGCGGUCCGCUAGUGACCGUGAAGGUCGGCCACCAGUGCCGGGCGUGCGGGUCGUUGUCGGCCGGUUCGGAUACAUCGGCGGGUUGGCUCGCCCCCCAAAGGGGGGCGACAGCCUUAGUC
rnacentral:lncRNA from 1 species